AGUGAUGUCAAGUCAGCAUGGCCUUUAUAUCCUGGGCUACACACACGCUACAAUGGCCAACACAAUAGUUGCUAAGCCGCGAGGUGGCGCCAAUCCAUAAAGUUGGUCUCAGUUCAGAUUGUAGGCUGCAACCCGCCUGCAUGAAGAUGGAGUUGCUAGUAACCGCAGGUCAGCUAUACUGCGGUGAAUACGUUCCCGGGGCUU
rnacentral:rRNA from 1 species